rnacentral:rRNA from 1 species
GAGUUUGAUCAUGGCUCAGGAUGAACGCUGGCGGCGUGCUUAACACAUGCAAGUCGAACGGGGUUAUGAAGUGUGAGGAGUCAGCUUGCUGGUGACGAACAGUUCAUAACUUAGUGGCGGACGGGUGAGUAACGCGUGGGUAACCUGCCAUAUACAGGGGGAUAACACUUAGAAAUAGGUGCUAAUACCGCAUAAGCGCACGGAGCUGCAUGGCUCAGUGUGAAAAACUCCGGUGGUAUAUGAUGGACCCGCGUCUGAUUAGCUUGUUGGCGGGGUAACGGCCCACCAAGGCGACGAUCAGUAGCCGGCCUGAGAGGGUGGACGGCCACAUUGGGACUGAGACACGGCCCAAACUCCUACGGGAGGCAGCAGUGGGGAAUAUUGGACAAUGGGGGGAACCCUGAUCCAGCGACGCCGCGUGAGUGAAGAAGUAUCUCGGUAUGUAAAGCUCUAUCAGCAGGGAAGAAAGAAAUGACGGUACCUGACCAAGAAGCCCCGGCUAACUACGUGCCAGCAGCCGCGGUAAUACGUAGGGGGCAAGCGUUAUCCGGAAUUACUGGGUGUAAAGGGAGCGCAGACGGCAGUGCAAGUCUGGAGUGAAAGCCCGUGGCUUAACCACGGGACUGCUCUGGAAACUGUGCAGCUAGAGUGCAGGAGAGGCAGGCGGAAUUCCUAGUGUAGCGGUGAAAUGCGUAGAUAUUAGGAGGAACACCAGUGGCGAAGGCGGCUUACUGGACUGUAACUGACGUUGAGGCUCGAAAGCGUGGGGAGCAAACAGGAUUAGAUACCCUGGUAGUCCACGCCGUAAACGAUGAUCACUAGGUGUCGGUGGGUAUGGACCCAUCGGUGCCGCAGCAAACGCAGUAAGUGAUCCACCUGGGGAGUACGUUCGCAAGAAUGAAACUCAAAGGAAUUGACGG